rnacentral:rRNA from 1 species
UUAAGAGCUUGCUCUUAUGAUUAGUGGCGCACGGGUGAGGUAAUAUAUAGGGUAAUGUACCUCUUAGUCUGGGGAUAGCCACUGGAAACGGUGAUUAAUACCGGAUACUCCUUUUCAUUUCAAGGAUGAAUCGGGAAAGUUUUCGCUAAGAGAUCGGCCUAUAUCCUAUCAGCUAGUUGGUGAGGGUAAAUGGCUCACCAAGGCAAUGACAGGUAGCGGGUUUGAGAGGAUGAUCCGCCACACUGGUACUGAGACACGGACCAGGCUCC